rnacentral:rRNA from 1 species
UACGAAGGGGGCGAGCGUUGUUCGGAUUUACUGGGCGUAAAGGGCGCGCAGGCGGCUCAUUUGGUCAGGCGUGAAAGCCCCGGGCUUAACCUGGGAACUGCGUUUGAUACGGAUGGGCUAGAGUUCGGGAGAGGAGAGUGGAAUUCCCAGUGUAGAGGUGAAAUUCGUAGAUAUUGGGAAGAACACCGGUGGCGAAGGCGGCUCUCUGGACCGAGACUGACGCUGAGGCGCGAAAGCGUGGGGAGCAAACAGG